rnacentral:lncRNA from 7 species
UGAUUUUUGUGUUAAGUGGGGAUAUUUGCAAAGAAAAGGCGUGAUUUUCGGGUUAAAUAGGGGAUUUUUCAAAGAGAAAAUGUGUGAUUUUCAGUUAAAUCGCGGAUCUCAAUGAGAAAAAUGCUGAUGUUUGCAUUAAAUGUGUGAUUUUCGUAGAGAUAUGCGUGAUUUUCAGGUUACAUGGGAGAUUUUUGAAGAGAAAAUGUGUGAUAUUCGGGAUGAAUCAGGGAUUCUUGAAGAGAAAAUGCAUCAUUUUCGGGUUCAAUGGGGGAUUCUCGAAGAGAAAUUGCAUUUCUACUGGUUAAUGGGGGAUUUUUGAAGAGGAAAUGCAUGAGUUUCGUUUACAUGUGAGAUUUUUGUAGAGGAAACGCGUGAUUUUUUGGAUACAUGGGGGAUUCUUGUAGCAAAAAUGUUUGAUUUUGGGGUCAAAUGGGGGAUAUUUGAAGAGCAAAAGUGUGAUUUCCGAGUUAAAUGGGGGAUUUUCCUAGAGAAGAUGUGUGAUUUGGGGGAUAAUGGGGUAUUUUUGAAGAGAUAAAGCAUGAUUUUGGGGUAAAUGGGGGAUUUUCCAAGAGAAAAUGUGUGAUUUGGGGGUUAAAAGGGGGAUUUCUGAGGAGAAAAUGUGUGCUUUUGGGGUUAAUGGGGUAUUUUUGGAGAGAAAAUGCAUGAUUUGGGGGUAAAUGCGUAUUUUCCAAGAGAAAAGGUGAGGUUUUUGAGUUAAAUGGGGGGUUUUCCAAGAGAAAUGCGUGAUUUUGGGGUUAAACGGGGGAUUGUUGAAGAGAAAACGCGCAAUUUUUGGUUUAAACAGCAAGUUUUGAGAGAAUAUGCGUGAUUUUCAGUUUAAAUCAGGGAUUCUGAAAGAGAAAAUGUGUGAUUUUUGUUUAAAUGGGGUAUUUUGGAAGGGAAAAUGCAUGAUUUUCGGGUAAAAUGGGGGGUUUUCGAAGAGGAAAUGCUUCGUUUCAGGUUAAAUUGGGGGUUUUCGAAGCCAAAAUGUGCGAUUUUCACUUAAAUGGGGGAUUUUCCAAACGAAAAUGCAUGAUUUUCUUUUUAGAUGGGGGAUUUUCAUAGAGAAAAGGCAUGAUUUUUGUGUUAAGUGGGGGAUAUUUGCAAAGAAAAGGCGUGAUUUUCGGGUUAAAUAGGGGAUUUUUCAAGAGAAAAUGUGUGAUUUUCAGUUAAAUCGCGGAUUCUCAAUGAGAAAUGCCUGAUGUUUGCAUUAAUGUGUGAUUUUCGUAGAGAUAAUGCGUGAUUUUCAGGUUACAUGGGAGAUUUUUGAAGAGAAAAUGUGUGAUAUUCGGGAUGAAUCAGGGAUUCUUGAAGAGAAAAUGCAUCAUUUUCGGGUUCAAUGGGGGAUUCUCGAAGA